AAUGCCGGAUCCUGUCUUAUAUAUUCCUUCCAUGUACAAUGCCCUCUGCACAAGUCACAGAGCAUGCCUAGAAAACUCUCCCAUAGAAGUCAAUGAGGUCACCUCCUGAUCAUUGUGUCUAUGGACCAUGUGGCUGCUAAAAAGCUAUUUUC